rnacentral:tRNA from 1 species
UUAGGGUGGCAGAUUAAGUGCAAAGAUUUUAAGAGUCUUUUAUAAUGUUAAAGUUUCCUAAAA